UACGUAGGGUGCAAGCGUUGUCCGGAAUUAUUGGGCGUAAAGAGCUCGUAGGCGGUCUGUCGCGUCGGCUGUGAAAACUCGGGGCUCAACCCCGAGCUUGCAGUCGAUACGGGCAGGCUAGAGUUCGGCAGGGGGAGACUGGAAUUCCUGGUGUAGCGGUGAAAUGCGCAGAUAUCAGGAGGAACACCGUGGCGAAGGCGGGCUCUGGCG
rnacentral:rRNA from 1 species